GGUCACGUGGACUCACUCAACCUGGGUGUGAUGCUUGCCUGUAUGCCAGGCCCUAGCGGUCAUCACAACCUUUUUGAGUGAGCGAACGCGACC
rfam:Dufourea novaeangliae contig1233, whole genome shotgun sequence.